rnacentral:rRNA from 1 species
ACUACGGGAGGCAGCAGUGAGGAAUAUUGGUCAAUGGGCGGGAGCCUGAACCAGCCAAGUCGCGUGAGGGACGACGGUCCUAUGGAUUGUAAACCUCUUUUGUCAGGGAGCAAAGGGCGCCACGUGUGGCGUUUUGCGAGUACCUGAAGAAAAAGCAUCGGCUAACUCCGUGCCAGCAGCCGCGGUAAUACGGAGGAUGCGAGCGUUAUCCGGAUUUAUUGGGUUUAAAGGGUGCGCAGGCGGAAUGUCAAGUCAGCGGUAAAAUUUCGGGGCUCAACCCCGUCGUGCCGUUGAAACUGGCGUUCUUGAGUGAGCGAGAAGUAUGCGGAAUGCGUGGUGUAGCGGUGAAAUGCAUAGAUAUCACGCAGAACUCCGAUUGCGAAGGCAGCAUACCGGCGCUCAACUGACGCUCAUGCACGAAAGCGUGGGUAUCGAACAGGAUUAGAUACCCUUGUAGUC